rnacentral:rRNA from 1 species
GACAGAGGUGCCGAGCGUUAGGCGGAAUCACUGGGCUUAAAGCGUGUGUAGGCGGAUGCCUAAGUACCUUGUGAAAUCCCCCGGCUUAACCGGGGAACUGCUCGGUAUACUGGGUGUCUUGAGCCACUUAGGGGCGACCGGAACAAACGGUGGAGCGGUGAAAUGCGUAGAUAUCGUUUGGAACGCCAAUGGUGAAAACAGGUCGCUGGGAGUGCGCUGACGCUGAGACACGAAAGCCAGGGGAGCGAACGGG